CAGGAAUAGCGGUCUCUGCUUCAAUACUGCAAGACUUGCAGUCUGGCUGCUAACAUAAUAAUACGUUCGUAUCUCCUCUGAUAAAACCUACUUUAAAAACUCGCGUCACAGUCUAGAGAUCUUUUAAUUUAUCAUCUGUUAAUCAAUUUCACUAGAUUGUGCUGCUCUGCGCAUUCGGCAAAAUUUAAAAAGUGCGUACGCGUAUUUUUUGCCGCGUGUGUCGAAUUAUUCGCGGACCAACAACCUGUGACUAAUUUAUUUGCGGUGGAGAUUGCGGCGGAUCUUUUGGCGGUGGCAUUAUCAGUUCCCACUUCGCCAUACGAUUUUGUUUGAUUUUGAUUCUUGAUUCAAUUCAGUGUGAUUUCAAGGCGGCUGUGCUUCGCGGGCAGUCCGAAGUGUGCGGUGAAUAUUUGCCGGCAAAAUUGUUUUUACAUACGGACAAUUUAAGCUCUGAAUAGUUUGUGAUAUUUUUUAUAAAGAAGUGACCCUACAAGACAUAAGUUACUAUACAUCAUAUGUGACGCCACUUUCAUUUUCCAAGGAAUCGAAUGAGGUAAUUAAUAUUAGGAUAUAAAUUUUUAUGAAUACUGUAGAUAUAGUGAAUAAAUAUGGUGAAAUAUUGAUUUCUAGAUUAACAGUUGGGGCCUUGACCAUUAUUUUCCUUCCAAAGAUUUCUCUUGGAUUUCUUUUAA
rnacentral:lncRNA from 1 species